AUGUUUGUGUCUGAAAAGAAGGUUUGGAUAAAAGAAGAUCCGCUUCGGAACAGAACCGAUGAAUUGAUGAUUCUACUCCGUCCUGUUUGCUGUGUUCAUGUUGUGGUUAAACUCUUUAACCCUCUCUGUCCAGAUGAAGACCAGGCUCGUGUGACCCCGUCCCUCUCUGUCCUCAGUCCUCUGGUCACUGAGGACUACAGGAGGGGGGACCCUCUGGGUCCGGACGUCUGUCUGGCCACUGGCUUCUAUCCAAAGGACAGUGUGAUGGUUCUGAACGUGAAGGGCGGUCCGGUCAACGUGAGCACCAGCAACGCCGUCCUGUCCGCAAAACUGAGAGGCUACGUCUUCCCCGGGUUCAUCAACCAGACCGUCCACUCCUGUGAGCUGAACGGAGAGUCCAGCAACAACGAGGCUGGUACGACACACAGACACACACACACACACACACAGAGACACACACAGAGACACACACACACACAGAGACAGACAGACACAGAGACACACCCAGACACACACACACACACAGACACACACACACACAGAGACACACACACCCAGACACACACACACACAGACACACAGACACAGAGACACACACACACACACAGACACACACACACACACACACACAGAGACACAGAGACACACAGACACAGAGACACACAGACACACACACAGAGACACACACAGACACACACACACACAGAGACACACACAGAGACACAGAGACACACAGACACACACACACACACACACACACAGACACAGAGACACACACACAGAGACACACACAGACACACACACACAGAGACACACAGACACACACACACAGAGACACACACAGACACACACACACAGAGACACACAGAGACACACAGACACACACACAGAGACACACACACACACACAGACACACACAGACACACACACACACAGACACACAGACAGACACACACAGACACACACACAGACACACACAGACACACACACACAGACACACACAGACACACACACACAGACACACACAGACACACACAGACACACAGACACACACAGACACACACAGACACACACAGACACACACACACACACACACACAGACACACACACACAGACACACACAGACACACAGUAAUGGUCCUUUGA
rnacentral:lncRNA from 1 species